AACAUUUGGAAACAGAUGCUAAUACCGCAUAACARCGUUGUUCGCAUGAACAACGCUUAAAAGAUGGCUUCUCGCUAUCACUUCUGGAUGGACCUGCGGUGCAUUAGCUUGUUGGUGGGGUAAYGGCCUACCAAGGCGAUGAUGCAUAGCCGAGUUGAGAGACUGAUCGGCCACAAUGGGACUGAGACACGGCCCAUACUCCUACGGGAGGCAGCAGUAGGGAAUCUUCCACAAUGGGCGCAAGCCUGAUGGAGCAACACCGCGUGAGUGAAGAAGGGUUUCGGCUCGUAAAGCUCUGUUGUUAAAGAAGAACACGUAUGAGAGUAACUGUUCAUACGUUGACGGUAUUUAACCAGAAAGUCACGGCUAACUACGUGCCAGCAGCCGCGGUAAUACGUAGGUGGCAAGCGUUAUCCGGAUUUAUUGGGCGUAAAGAGAGUGCAGGCGGUUUUCUAAGUCUGAUGUGAAAGCCUUCGGCUUAACCGGAGAAGUGCAUCGGAAACUGGAUAACUUGAGUGCAGAAGAGGGUAGUGGAACUCCAUGUGUAGCGGUGGAAUGCGUAGAUAUAUGGAAGAACACCAGUGGCGAAGGCGGCUACCUGGUCUGCAACUGACGCUGAGACUCGAAAGCAUGGGUAGCGAACAGGAUUAGAUACCCUGGUAGUCCAUGCCGUAAACGAUGAGUGCUAGGUGUUGGAGGGUUUCCGCCCUUCAGUGCCGGAGCUAACGCAUUAAGCACUCCGCCUGGGGAGUACGACCGCAAGGUUGAAACUCAAAGGAAUUGACGGGGGCCCGCACAAGCGGUGGAGCAUGUGGUUUAAUUCGAAGCUACGCGAAGAACCUUACCAGGUCUUGACAUCUUGCGCCAACCCUAGAGAUAGGGCGUUUCCUUCGGGAACGCAAUGACAGGUGGUGCAUGGUCGUCGUCAGCUCGUGUCGUGAGAUGUUGGGUUAAGUCCCG
rnacentral:rRNA from 1 species